rnacentral:rRNA from 1 species
AACGAACGCUGGCGGCAGGCCUAACACAUGCAAGUCGAGCGGACCCUUCGGGGUUAGCGGCGGACGGGUGAGUAACGCGUGGGAAUAUGCCCUUCUCUGCGGAAUAGCCUCGGGAAACUGAGAGUAAUACCGCAUACGCCCUUUGGGGGAAUGAUUUAUCGGGGAAGGAUUAGCCCGCGUUGGAUUAGGUAGUUGGUGGGGUAAUGGCCUACCAAGCCGACGGUCCAGAGCUGGUUUGGGAGGAUGAUCAGCCACACUGGGACUGGGACACGGCCCAGACGCCGACGGGAGGCAGCGGUGGGGAAUCUUAGACAAUGGGGGCAACCCUGAUCGAGCCAGGCCGCGUGAGUGAUGAAGGCCUUAGGGUUGUAAAGCUCUUUCAGCUGGGAAGAAAAUGACGGUACCAGCAGAAGAAGCCCCGGCUAACUCCGUGCCAGCCGCCGCCGUAA